AGCCAGGCUAACUCUGUGCCAGCAGCCGCGGUAAUACAGAGGGUGCAAGCGUUAAUCGGAUUUACUGGGCGUAAAGCGCGCGUAGGCGGCUAAUUAAGUCAAAUGUGAAAUCCCCGAGCUUAACUUGGGAAUUGCAUUCGAUACUGGUUAGCUAGAGUGUGGGAGAGGAUGGUAGAAUUCCAGGUGUAGCGGUGAAAUGCGUAGAGAUCUGGAGGAAUACCGAUGGCGAAGGCAGCCAUCUGGCCUAACACUGACGCUGAGGCGCGAAAGCAUGGGGAGCAAACAGGAUUAGAUACCCUGGUAGUCCAUGCCGUAAACGAUGUCUACUAGCCGUUGGGGCCUUUGAGGCUUUAGUGGCGCAGCUAACGCGAUAAGUAGACCGCCUGCGGAGUACGGUCGCAAGACUAUAACUCAAAUGACUUGCACGGGGGCCCGCACAAGCGGUGGAGCAUGUGGUUUA
rnacentral:rRNA from 1 species